GACGAACGCUGGCGGCGUGCUUAACACAUGCAAGUCGAACGGAAAGGCCCUGCUUUUGUGGGGUGCUCGAGUGGCGAACGGGUGAGUAACACGUGAGUAACCUGCCCUUGACUUUGGGAUAGCUUCAGGAAACUGGGGCUAAUACCGGAUAGGAGCUCCUGCUGCAUGGUGGGGGUUGGAAAGUUUCGGCGGUUGGGGAUGGACUCGCGGCUUAUCAGCUUGUUGGUGGGGUAGUGGCUUACCAAGGCUUUGACGGGUAGCCGGCCUGAGAGGGUGACCGGCCACAUUGGGACUGAGAUACGGCCCAGACUCCUACGGGAGGCAGCAGUGGGGAAUAUUGCACAAUGAGCGGAAGCCUGAUGCAGCAACGCCGCGUGCGGUAUGACGGCCUUCGGGUUGUAAACCGCUUUCGCCUGUGACGAAGCGUGAGUGACGGUAAUGGGUAAAGAAGCACCGGCUAACUACGUG
rnacentral:rRNA from 1 species